GUGGGUCUGGCGGUGAGGGGCCGGUAGGUCUGGCGGUGAGGUUGUGGUAGGUCUGGCGGUGAGGGGCCGGCCGGUAGGUCUGGCGGUGAAGGAGUGGUAGGUCUGGCGGUGAGGGGCCGGUAGGUCUGGCGGUGAGGGAGUGGUAGGUCUGGCGGUGAGGGGCCGGUAGGUCUGGCGGUGAGGGAGUGGUAGGUCUGGCGGUGAGAGGCCGGUAGGUCUGGCGGUGAGGGAGUGGUAGGUCUGGCGGUGAGAGGCCGGUAGGUCUGACGGUGUGGGGCCGGUAGGUCUGGCGGUGUGGGGCCGGUAGGUCUGGCGGUGUGGGGCCGGUAGGUCUGGCGGUGUGGGGCCGGUAGGUCUGGCGGUGUGGGGCCGGUAGGUCUGGCGGUGAGGGAGUGGUAGGUCUGGCAGUGAGGGAGUGGUAGGUCUGGCGGUGAGGGGCCGGCCGGUAGGUCUGGCGGUGAAGGAGUGGUAGGUCUGGCGGUGAGGGAGUGGUAGGUCUGGCGGUGAGGGGCCGGUAGGUCUGGCGGUGAGGGAGUGGUAGGUCUGGCGGUGAGAGGCCGGUAGGUCUGACGGUGAGGGAGUGGUAGGUCUGGUGGUGAGAGGCCGGUAGGUCUGACGGUGUGGGGCCGGUAGGUCUGGCGGUGUGGGGCCGGUAGGUCUGGCGGUGUGGGGCCGGUAGGUCUGUCGGUCAGGGGCCGGUGUCGACCUUAUCAUAUUUAAAUAAAAGUGAUUUUAAAAAUUCUCAAUUUACAAUUACAUUCAGCAUCAUUAUGUUUGAUUGGUGAGAGGUAGGAUUGUAUGAUUGAUUGAAUCAAAUGGUGGAUGAUAUAGGUUCUCAGAACUGUAAUGAAUGACUAUAAUGAUAGGAUUGAACUGUAAUGACUAUAAUAAUAGGAUUGAACUGUAAUGACUAUAAUAAUAGGAUUGAACUGUAAUGACUAUAAUAAUAGGAUUGAACUGUAAUGACUAUAAUAAUAGGAUUGAACUGUAAUGACUAUAAUAAUAGGAUUGAACUGUAAUGAAUGACUAUAAUAAUAGGAUUGAACUGUAAUGACUAUAAUAAUAGGAUUGAACUGUAAUGACUAUAAUAAUAGGAUUGAACUGUAAUGACUAUAUAAUAAUAAGAUUGAACUGUAAUGACUAUAAUAAUAGGAUUGAACUGUAAUGACUAUAAUAAUAGGAUUGAACUGUAAUGACUAUAAUAAUAGGAUUGAACUGUAAUGACUAUAAUAAUAGGAUUGAACUGUAAUGACUAUAAUAAUAGGAUUGAACUGUAAUGACUAUAAUAAUAGGAUUGAACUGUAAUGACUAUAAUAAUAGGAUUGAACUGUAAUGACUUUAAUAAUAGGAUUGAACUGUAAUGACUAUAAUAAUAGGAUUGAACUGUAAUGACUAUAAUAAUAGGAUUGAACUGUAAUGACUAUAAUAAUAGGAUUGAACUGUAAUGACUAUAAUAAUAGGAUUGAACUGUAAUGACUAUAAUAAUAGGAUUGAACUGUAAUGACUAUAAUAAUAGGAUUGAACUGUAAUGACUAUAAUAAUAGGAUUGAACUGUAAUGACUAUAAUAAUAGGAUUGAACUGUAAUGAAUGACUAUAAUAAUAGGAUUGAACUGUAAUGACUAUAAUAAUAGGAUUGAACUGUAAUGACUAUAAUAAUAGGAUUGAACUGUAAUGACUAUAAUAAUAGGAUUGAACUGUAAUGACUAUAAUAAUAGGAUUGAACUGUAAUGACUUUAAUAAUAGGAUUGAACUGUAAUGACUAUAAUAAUAGGAUUGAACUGUAAUGACUAUAAUAAUAGGAUUGAACUGUAAUGACUAUAAUAAUAGGAUUGAACUGUAAUGACUAUAAUAAUAGGAUUGAACUGUAAUGACUAUAAUGAUAGGAUUGAACUGUAAUGACUAUAAUGAUAGGAUUGAACUGUAAUGACUAUAAUAAUAGGAUUGAACUGUAAUGACUAUAAUAAUAGGAUUGAACUGUAAUGACUAUAAUAAUAGGAUUGAACUGUAAUGACUAUAAUAAUAGGAUUGAACUGUAAUGACUAUAAUAAUAGGAUUGAACUGUAAUGACUAUAAUAAUAGGAUGAACUGUAAUGACUAUAAUAAUAGGAUUGAACUGUAAUGACUAUAAUAAUAGGGUUGAACUGUAAUGACUAUAAUAAUAGGAUUGAACUGUAAUGACUAUAAUAAUAGGGUUGAACUGUAAUGACUAUAAUAAUAGGAUUGAACUGUAAUGACUAUAAUAAUAGGAUUGAACUGUAAUGACUAUUAUAAUAUUAUUAUGGAGACCAGAUUCAUUUCCAAAUCGUUGUUAUUUUUCCAUCACUUUACUGAAUAAGAAGUUACUUUCUGUCCAGCUCUUUCUUGAUCCAGCGUAUCCAUUUCCUUUCAUGUGAUGGUAAAUGAUGUUUGGUUGGACAGUUAAUUGAUUGAUCCUAAUAAAAACAAAAAAUAGACAACACUUUUCAACUAACUUCCCGAUUCACUGAAUGACUACUGAAGAGUGUCUGGCUGGUGUCAACGUUUGCUUUAUAGUUUUCUAUUGAAUAUCAAGGUAUUUGUUAUCAUUGACAUGUGUCGUGUCUCUGUCUCU